AACGAACGCUGGCGGCAUGCCUAACACAUGCAAGUCGAACGAGACCUUCGGGUCUAGUGGCGCACGGGUGCGUAACGCGUGGGAACCUGCCCUUAGGUUCGGAAUAACUCCCCGAAAGGGGUGCUAAUACCGGAUAAUGUCUUCGCACCAAAGAUUUAUCGCCUUUGGAUGGGCCCGCGUUGGAUUAGCUAGUUGGUAGGGUAAAAGCCUACCAAGGCGACGAUGCAUAGCUGGUCUGAGAGGAUGAUCAGCCACACUGGGACUGAGACACGGCCCAGACUCCUACGGGAGGGAGCAGUGGGGAAUAUUGGACAAGGGGCGAAAGCCUGAUCCAGCAAUGCCGCGGGAGUGAUGAAGGCCUUAGGGUUGUAAAGCUCUUUUACCCGGGAUGAUAAUGACAGUACCGGGAGAAUAAGCACCGGCUAACUACGUG
rnacentral:rRNA from 1 species